GGAGCGGUGMAAGCGUUAUCCGGAUUCACUGGGUUUAAAGGGUGCGUAGGUGGGUCUGUAAGUCCGUGGUGAAAUCUCCGAGCUUAACUUGGAAACUGCCAUGGAUACUAUAGGUCUUGAAUACUGUGGAGGUCAGCGGAAUAUGUCAUGUAGCGGUGAAAUGCUUAGAUAUGACAUAGAACACCAAUUGCGAAGGCAGCUGGCUACACAAAUAUUGACACUGAUGCACGAAAGCGUGGGGAUCAAACAGGAUUAGAUACCCUGGUAGUCCACGCCCUAAACGAUGGAUACUCGACAUUUGCGAUAAACUGCAAGUGUCUGAGCGAAAGCAUUAAGUAUCCCACCUGGGAAGUACGAUCGCAAGAUUG
rnacentral:rRNA from 1 species